UACGUAGGGUGCGAGCGUUAAUCGGAAUUACUGGGCGUAAAGCGUGCGCAGGCGGUUCGCUGUGUCCGAUGUGAAAGCCCCGGGCUUAACCUGGGAAUGGCAUUGGAAACUGGCGGGCUUGAGUGCGGCAGAGGGGGGUGGAAUUCCGCGUGUAGCAGUGAAAUGCGUAGAUAUCGAGAGGAACACCUGCGGCGAAGGCGGGUUGCUGGGCCGACACUGACGCUGAUGCGCGAAAGCCAGGGGAGCGAACGGG
rnacentral:rRNA from 1 species